AAUACCUUUUAAGAGUUGUCCAGAGAGGCACAGAAGGGUGAUUCGAUACGAUAAGCAUGCAUAUAGUAUACAAGCUUAUUUUGUCAUAUCCUUCAAAAGCCUCCUUGAAAUUACAAGGAGGCUUUUAGUUU
rfam:Rummeliibacillus stabekisii strain PP9, complete genome.